rnacentral:lncRNA from 1 species
CCCCUCUCUUUUCGCUUCUUCCAUGUUGGCUUACCGUAGCAGUCGCUCUAAGCUUUCUCAUCCUACUGAUGGUAUUUUAGGCGAACUCGCUUGCAGCACCCGCUUCUCGGGUCUGGUUCUAGUUCUUCGUUGCUGUGCCAGUGCCACCUAAACAAUGCCAUGGGCCGACCAGUCCGUCACAUCCACUGCUACAACUUCGAGUAAAGCUAAAGAAAACUCAUAGUUACUGUAUGAUUUCGGCCUCCUAGGUAAAUGGGUUUCUUAUUUUACUCUUCUUUUACUUGAACUUGUUCAAUCGUGGUUGUUGGUAUUAAGUGGGUUCCAUGAAUGUGCAGGAUACUAUACGAUUUCGGCCUGUUAUGUAAAUGGAUUUCUUCUUUUACUCUUCUUUUCUUUUAUCGCAUUUUAUGAUUAUUUUUUCUUGGUUUUGAUUUCGUUCAUUUUUGUAGGAGUAUUUUUCUCCUAUGGGCUGGUCACUCAAGAGGGACAUUGUAUGGUGUGUCUAGGGAGGUGGCUGUUGCUUUUGAGGAGGUGAUACGGGUUAGGGUUAUGGUGGAGAGAUAAAUCCUCUUAGUGAGUUAAUCGUUAAUUUUUGAAGCUGAUAUAUGUAGUUGAAAUUUAGCAUCAUUUGUUUAUAAAGUUUAUGUGACAACGGAUAUGCUCUAGCUGGGAACUGUUAUAGGUGAACAUUAAUAAAUGUAGUAUGUUUUCAUAGUUUUAAUUUUUGCCAUGUCUUUUUUAAUGAUGAUUUAGGCUUUCAUGUGGUGAUUUCGACUGAGUUUUUAACUUGUGAGCUUUUCUCUUGUUACUAGAGGUUUUUACCUAUAGGUGUAGGGUUUUUUUUCAUUAAAAAUAGAAUUUGCUAUUCAAUUGAUGUUGAUUUUGCCCUCCUAAUUCUCUCUUUCUCCAAAGUUCUUCUCUUCUACCUAUUUCCUUCUCUUUUAAAUUCUCGUGAUCUCUUAUGCGCCAAAUGCUUCAACUGGAUUCCAUUUUAUUCAGCUUCUCGAUGUUACGUCAAAUUUCAAUUGCUAAAUACGAGCUGUUGCAAGUCUUGAAUUGAAUGAUUGGUGAAUACCAUCAAAUUUCAACUGAUUUGGGUGUCUAAAUGUGAAUAAAUUGCUUUGCUUUGGUUCAGGAUAUUCUGAGAAGUAGAGCAGCUGGUGUGUUCCUUAGUGGUGCUUUAGCGGGACCAUAACCAAAGCCAUUCUCGCUCUUGAGACCAUCAGGUUUUCUAUUUCCCCUUCCCUGAUCCUGGAUUUUUUUUUUUUUUUUUUUAACCUAAUAAAUGAAGCAGAUUGCAUAAUAGUUCAAUUGCGAUACAUUAUUUGAUCAAACUUUAAAAAGAAAAUUCUGGCUUCAUCAAUUCUAGCUUUUCUGUUCCUCUUUGACUCAAUUGUGGUCCUAUUUUAUUUUCUCAAAUUUACAAGAUGGCAUGUCGAAUGAAUAAGUCACUGGAGUCAGUAUUAUAUCAUCAUUCUUCAAGCCUGAAAGAUGAAAGUUGAGUUUUAAUGUAACCCACUUAAACAAGAGUGAGACAACAUCUUUGUUUGAAGAAGAGAGACAAGUCUCUAUUAUAUGUAUAAGGUAACUUCUUUGGUUUGGAGAAAGCUCAUCUUCAUCUUUUAGCUUUGGAUGAUAAUGGGUGAGGAAGUAUGUUUUAUAUAAUUUUUAUUGAAUGUGGGAAUCUCUGUUUGCUAAAAUCCUACACCGCAAGUGCACGGGUUGCGUUCAAGUAAUAAAGUGGACCUUUUAAGUUCAAGUAUCGUCCCACAGAGAUUGUAUUAGUUUAAAUUUAAAUUAUCUUCGCCUUAACCGAAACAAUAGAAAUUCGUGAUUUUUUGCUAACUAUAUUGUGAUUUAAUAACUUACUUAAAGAUAUAAAGUUUAAAUUAACUCAAUUAAAUGCGUAAUUAUAACUAAAUGCAAAUUUUAUAAAAAUAUGAUAACGAAGUGCGUACUAAGAUCCCGAAUCCCCUUAUAUCAACCCUCUUUAAUCCGAAUUUUAUAAAAUUGACAACACGAUUCAAUUAUGAAGAUCAAUAUUCCUAAUUUGUUUAACAAUCUCUUUCGAGUAGAGUUAAUCCUAUUUUUACAUGUGACCCGACUAUAUUUCUGUGACGAAUGCGAACAUAUAAAAAUGCAUUAAAAAUUUAUGAAUACUUAAAGAUCACGUAAAGCAUAGCGGUAUAUUUCUAUCCCCUAUCGGACUUUACGACAAUUAACAUAAUGUCCAACUUAUUUUCCAUCUCUCGAGGGUAAAACAAGUCACAAAUCUCAUACAACUAUUGCGCACAUAAUUGUAGAGAAAAUAAAAUACAUGCAAAUCAUUCAAUAAUUAAAAACAUGUUUUAACGUCAAAUGAAUAAAAUUCAAGAUUAAGGAUUCAUAAUAUAAGGUUCAUCGCAAAAUCCCAGCACGAAGAGAUCUAGCCUAACAUAAUGGCAGAAUUAAAUAAAUAAAAGUGGAACGACAUCACCAAUAAUUGACGAAACAUGAUUAAUCUUUCAAUAUGUAGAUCUGCGGUCUUUUUCCUCUUUUCUGCGUGAUGUCGUCUGCUUCUGUAUGCGUGUUCCUUAAUUCCAACCGUCCAAUGUCUCCCCAAGCAGCCUGCUUCCUGUGGGAAUUAUAUAUGUAUAAAAAUCAGAUUUGAGCCCACCAAUUAAUUCCCCACCUGCUGGCCGACAAUCACAAUCCAACCACGCAAUCUAUCGGCUUUAUGUGGGUGAGUGUAUAUAUAUAAUUUAACUUUUGCAGCCCACUAAUUCACCCCACAAGCUUCUCAAUUGUUUUGGUGGAAGAAUUCCUUUUCUCAAAAUCCCAGCAGCCGGCCAACUUUAUAUAUUCCGCCACUCAAAUUUUCCUACUUCACCAAUUUGCCGUUUUCUAUGUAUGUGUCUAUGAACUUAGCUUUGUCUUCCUCUCAAUUUUGUAGGUUUAUGUUUGUAUAUAUAUAUUACAGUUUUCCCUUGUUCUGUAUACAAUUUAGGAGCCCAAGUCCAAUAAGUUUUGUGUACUCAAUUCUUUCGGGUAAUGCAAGUUAGUCCUUCUCUUCAUUUUCUCCUCAAUUUUGAUCCUCCAUCUUUUAUUCCGCGAGAUUUAGUCCACAAAUUCAAUGUAACAGCCAAUUGAUUAUUUUCUUUUCCAAUUGCUUCAAAACGGGUCCAUAACUAAAAACAAAAGAAAAUUAACACAAGUUGGUAAAAAUUAAUAAUUUGACGACAUAAAAACCUAGUUAUGUAAUCCGAAUAAGUGCAUAAAAUGCACUUAUCAAUCUCUACUAGUUAUUCAGAGAAAAGCAUAUCUUAAGUGGUGUGAGCUUCAAAGUGAAAUUUCUUUGCUUUUGGUUGUUCAAUUCUUUGAAUGUUUCAACCAUGUGUAUUAUGACUUCAAGUUCCAAAAGUUAAUGGUCAUUGUCUAGCUCUUGCAAGUGACAUAGGUACCAAGUUAAUGUUUUGGAUUGCCUGCUUGUAGGAGGAUUAUCUCUAUUGCUAUGUUGUGCAUCACUGUCAUCCACAGAGAGAACUUUCAUCUCAUAUAUAUGUUGCUGUCUAGGAAAUUGAGGGAUGGACUGCAAGGUUGCGUCCCUCUACGCAAGUAAUGUAUAAAAAAUAUUGUACAUUAAUAAUUGGAUGAUGAUCACUCGGUGAAUAUUGGGCUAUCAACCUGGUCAUAUGAUAAUAUAUAUGUUCUGCACGUGUAAAUUUAUUUCAUGGAAUAUUAUUUGGGUAUCUCUUAUUCAAAUUUUUACUAAGAUAUCUUCAAUUGAUAUGUGAAUGGGAUAUCUCCAUUCCCAAAUAGCUUUCACAUCUUUUUAUAAGUAUCUCAUGGUGUCUCUUCAGGUUUUUAUGUUUUUAUCUCAUGCUAUUUCCAGAGAGCCAAGGUCAUUUUUUAACUCCUUAAUUAUAGAUUGCAUCAGCCCAUGUCAUCAGGACAACACUAUAGGCUAACAUAAAAUGCUUGUGAAGCUCAUUUAAAUGCUCAAUUAUCAAGAUUCUGCUUUAUCUUGAAUGUUCCCAGUUAAUUGUGAAUCGUGAAUUAUUCUUCUUUUCACUAUCGUGGCUAUAUAUGCACUAUUGGACAGCUUAAAGCAAAUUGGUGAGUUCCUGUUUGAAAAAUAUGGAGGUUAAGACUUGGAUGUCAUGUAAGUUCAGUACACUUUAUGAAUGAUAAAUCUUAUUGCCAUUUAAUACUUGGAUGUCGUGUAAGUUCAACACACUUAAUGAAUGAUAAGUCUUAUUGCCAUUUAAUAAACAGAAUUUGUGAAUACUGAAUUGAUUGUCUGAAGUUGUAAUCUUAUUUUUUUCCUCUUUCCCGAGUUUAAGCAAUCAUGGAGAAAAAAAGGAGAGAGUAAACUAUGAUAUUGGUUGUUCUUAGAGUAAACUAUUAUAUUGGUUGUUCUUAUUUACUUUUAUCCAAAAUCAAAAACUUUUUGCUUAUAAAAUUGUACAAUUAGUUAGUCUCGAUUUACUUUUGAUCAGGUCUUUGUUUUAUUUUCUUUCGAUUUUCUUGUUUGUGAAAGAGCUUGCUAUCAUAUGCUGAUCUCUUUCUGCUUUUUUGUGGAUUUUGUUUAUGUAUAUUAUAACAUUAUGGCAAUGAAGAUGAUUUUUGAUGGGAAGCUAAGCAUUCCUGAUGGGCAGGAGAUUCACAAGGACUUUGAUUUGUUUGUGAUUGAAGCUGCAGUGCUGGAGUUCGUGCCUCACAAUUUCCUAGUCUAUAACUCAUUUUUCAUUGUCUAUGCACCAUUUGUGCUAAAAGUCUAGUAGACAUUUGUAACUAAGAUAUUAAGGUGCAUUGGCACAUUUCAUGGUUAAAUAUAGG